rnacentral:rRNA from 1 species
UACGUAGGGAGCAAGCGUUAUCCGGUAUUAUUGGGUGUAAAGGGUGCGUAGACGGGAAUUUAAGUUGGUUGUGAAAUCCCUUGGCUUAACUGAGGAACUGUAACCGAAACUGAAUUUCUUGAGUGCUGGAGAGGGAAGCGGAAUUCCUAGUGUAGCGGUGAAAUGCGUAGAUAUUAGGAGGAACACCAGUGGCGAAGGCGGCUUUCUGGACAGUAACUGACGUUGAGGCACGAAAGUGUGGAGAGCAAAC